GGAACUUGCCUGCUAAAUAAGGUCGUGGUGU
rnacentral:piRNA from 1 species